rnacentral:lncRNA from 13 species
GCUUUGACCUUUACAAUACUCCCAAGGGAAGGCUGGUAUUACCAUCACACCCAUUUUUGAGAGAAACAUGAAGCCAGGGUGCUGUACUGACUUGCCUGUGAUCACGUGGUCACAAAUUGGUGGAACUUGAACUCCGGUUUUCUUACUCCAAGCCCAAGGUUUUCUAUUUUCUUAGGGACUGAACAAAAACUCAGACCUGGUGAGAAUGCCCAGUGCCUACACCAAUAACCAGUUCUUUUCUCUUCCCUGGGCAUACGAAGACCAUGCUUCCCAGCUGGCCUGUAGUUAGCAGGGUCACAUGACUACGGCUGCCAAUAAAUGUGGGUGGAAGUGAUGUCUGUCACUUCCAGGCUGAGGCAGUGAAAGCAAGCUUUUGUGUGAUUGAUUCUCUUGUCCCUUCACAGAUGGGGGAGAUGAUGGGGGAGGACUGAUGUUCAGAUGGUGAAGUUACACCAAGGAAGCAUCCUGAAUUCUGAGUCACCACUUGGAUCACGGCUGUCCUGGAGAAUCACCCAGACCUGCUUUGGAGCCUGUAAAACGGAAUAUCAAAGAGAUGGGGAAAUAAUGUGACCUGCUGUUGUCAAUUCACCAUUUGAUGGCUUGGAGACUUAACUCAGCACUGUAGUACUGGUAAUGGAAUGUUCUGGGGUAUAUAUUUUUGGUGGGCGGCGGGGGGGAACAGGUCUCGUGUGCUGGAAAAUUUAUUUUUUCAGCUGCGGUUUGGAGGUU